rnacentral:rRNA from 1 species
ACGCCGCGUGGAUGAUGAAGGCCUUCGGGUCGUAAAUCCUUUUCUGUGUGACGAGAACGGACGGUAGCACAGGAAUAAGUCUCGGCUAACUACGUGCCAGCAGCCGCGGUAAAACGUAGGAGACAAACGUUAUCCGGAGUUACUGGGCGUAAAGGGCGUGCAGGCGGUUAUCUAAGUCUGGUGUGAAAUCUGUCGGCUUAACCGGGAGAGGUCAUUGGAAACUGGAUAACUCGAGGACGGUAGAGGCGUGUGGAAUUCCGGGUGUAGUGGUGAAAUGCGUAGAUAUCCGGAGGAACACCAGUGGCGAAGGCGACACGCUGGGCCGUACCUGACGCUAAGACGCGACAGCAUGGGGAGCGAACGGGAUUAGAAACCCCGGUAGUCCAUGCCGUAAACGAUGCCAGCUGGAUGUCGUACCUCGAAAGGGGUAUGGGUAUCGAAGCCAACGCGCUAAGCUGGCCGCCUGGGGAGUACGGUCGCAAGAUU